rnacentral:rRNA from 1 species
GACGAACGUUGGCGGCAUGCCUAACACACGCAAGUCUAGGGGUAGCAAUACCACUGGCGCACGGGUGAGUAACACGUAGGUUAUCUGCCCCCAUCACAGACAUAACCCCGGGAAACCGGGGCUAAUAUCUGAUGAGGUCGCGAGAUCAAAGCUUCGGCGGAUGGGGAUGAGCCUGCGGCUGAUUAGCUAGUUGGUGAGGUAAUGGCUCACCAAGGCGACGAUCAGUAGCUGGUCUGAGAGGACGAACAGCCACACUGGAACUGAGACACGGUCCAGACUCCUACGGGAGGCAGCAGUGAGGAAUAUUGGUCAAUGGGAGCAAUCCUGAACCAGCAAUGCCGCGUGUGGGAUGACAGGGCUUCGCCUUGUAAACCACUGUCGGACGGGACGAAAGGAGGCCUCGGGCCUCUGGGACGUACCGUCAAGGAAGGGUCGGCUAACUACGUGCCAGCAGCCGCGGUAA